rnacentral:rRNA from 1 species
GCCCGGAGAUAGCUGGUUCUCCCCGAAAUAGCUUUAGGGCUAGCCUCAAGGUGAGAGAUACGGAGGUAGAGCACUGAAUGUCCUAGGGGGUAUUGCACCUACCGAAGACUAUCAAACUCCGAAUGCCGUCAUCUUAUACUUGGGAGUCAGACUGUGGGUGAUAAGAUUCAUAGUCGAAAGGGCAACAGCCCAGAUCGUCAGCUAAGGUCCCUAAAUGUAAGUUAAGUGGUAAAGGAUGUGGGAUUGCACAGACAACCAGGAUGUUGGCUUAGAAGCAGCCACUCAUUCAAAGAGUGCGUAAUAGCUCACUGGUCGAGUGAUCCUGCGCCGAAGAUUUCCGGGGCUAAAACUUACUACCGAAGCUACGGCAUCAUUAUGAUGGGUAGGGGAGCUUCCCAUACGGGUUGAAGCAUGACCGUAAGGACAUGUGGACAGUAUGGGAGUGAGAAUGUUGGCAUGAGUAGCGAGAUGUGGGUGAGAAUCCCACAGGCCGUAAACCCAAGGUUUCCAGGGGAAGGUUCGUCCGCCCUGGGUUAGUCGGGACCUAAGCUGAGGCCGAAAGGCGUAGGUGAUGGACAACAGGUUGAUAUUCCUGUACUACCGAUAACCGUUUGAGAGAAGGGAUGACACAGUAGGAUAAGCUAAGCACACUGUUGGUUAUGUGUGCCCAAGCAUUGAGGCAGUCAAAGCAGGCAAAUCCGCUGUGACAAUGCUGGGAGGUGAUGGGGAUCGAAAUUUAGUAGCGAAGUAGGUGAUUACACACUGUCAAGAAAAGUCUCUAUCGAGGUUAAAGGUACCCGUACCGCAAACCGACACAGGUGGGUGAGGAGAGUAUCCGAAGGCCAGCGAGAGAACUGUUGUUAAGGAACUCGGCAAAAUGACCCCGUAACUUAGGGAUAAGGGGUGCCACCAUCCGGUGGCCGCAGAGAAUAGGCCCAAGCGACUGUUUACCAAAAACAUAGGUUUCUGCUAAGUCGCAAGACGAUGUAUAGGAGCUGACGCCUGCCCGGUGCUGGAAGGUUAAGGGGAUCUGUUAGAGCAA